rnacentral:lncRNA from 1 species
UUCGCCAAGCUCGGGAUUGGGUCGCCGUCGAAGGACUAUUUUGUCCAGGUGGAUACGGGGAGUGAUAUCCUGUGGGUCAAUUGCGUAGGCUGCACAAACUGUCCCAAGAAAAGUGACAUCGGCGUGAAGCUCACAUUGUAUGAUCCGAAAAGCUCAUCGACUUCGAGUUCUGUUACUUGUGAUCAGGAAUUUUGCACGUCGAAAUACAACGGUCAACUGCCGGGCUGCCAGCCGGACUUGCUCUGCCAAUACGACGUGACAUAUGGCGACGGAAGUGAGACGGCCGGAUACUUUGUGCAGGACACUAUUCAAUUUGAUGAGGGGACUAAUGGCAGUGUUGUGUUUGGUUGCGGUGC